GCUUCUGAGUCUGCGCAGAAGGAUCAUCAGUGAUGAUUGGGUCCGGAUCACGCCUCCUCUUCCAGGCAGCUUUCCCAGACCCUCAGAAGUAAAGCGGAUUGAACAUCUUACGGUUUGAUUACGCUUUUAAGCAGGACCCGUUCAAACCGGCUCUGUAAUUCCAUCAUAGGGGAGGCUGAACCAGAAGGAGAAUUGAGAGUUCAAGGCCAGCCUAAACUACAUAGUGAAUUUCAAGCUAGUUUGGAUUACACAGCGAGUUUCUGUCUCAUCAAAACAGCACACUUACGGAAUUACAAGACCCUGGGUGAAAUAUUCUAUGCUUUGACCAGAAGAGAAUCUGAGGUCUUUUUUGUCUUCCAGGUGCGGUGGAGCUGAGUUCCACCAGUCUGAGCUCGCAGGGGCCUUUGUUCACGGUUCUAAGAGGCUUUGUUCUCAGUCUUCUGAGAUGCUCUGUUCUCAACGUUCUGGAGUUCUAAAUCUGAGCCUGCCUGCUUUCCAAGGCUGCAUUCUGCCUCUUCUCACUGGGCAAGCAGGGCUAGCGCCCCCUCACGCGGCCAGCAUGUGUCACUACACCCGGUGUGUCGGCAACGUUUGUGAAAUAGCCCAUUUCUCAGACGGACCUUUGACUCCUUAAAAGCUGAGAUCUGGAAGGGAGGAUGGGGCCGUAGAAUCGCGGUGAGUUCGAGGCCAAUCUGGGCUAACUAUGACAGCCUGUUAUUGAAAGAAAAAUAUAAUGUGAAACUGUCUUUUAUAAUGUUUUAUGGUCGUCUGGCAAUAACCAACUUUGAUGUGGUGAGUCUAUGCCACUUUAAGGCAGAGUAACACUAGGAAUCGAAUUUGGUCUCUCUGUGCUCUUCAUCUACAUCUAAAAAAAAGUUAUUCUGAACGUUUAACAGCAUAAUUAUGUUUUGUUUUGCUUUUUGAGGGUUUCACUAAGUAACCCUGGCUGAUUUGUAACUAUGUAGACCAGACUGGCUUGUUACUUUCAGACCUCCUCUGGGUUGUAUCUGACUCCCCCUCCUCCAGUGCUCGUAUUAACGGAGUGGGUCACCACGUAUAACCCUGUUAAUUUUUUUUUUUUUUUUUUGGAGUAACAGCUUCUACCACUCAUAAAGAACUGAGUCCUGGGCAUGGUGAGUCAUAUCUGUAAUCCCAGCACUGGAGAAAUGGCUCAGUGAUUUAAGAGUGCUGUUGCUCUUCCAGAAAACCUGGGUUCAGUUUCUGGCACACAGAGGGAAAAAGAGGCUCACAAUCCUCUGUAACUCCAGCAUCACGGGAUCCACUGUCCUCUUCUGGUCUCCUCAGGCAACUGCACUCUGUGUGUGUGAGCACACACAUACACCACACCCUAAAAUAGUCUUGCUGGGCAGUGGUGGUACACACCUUUAAUCUCACAGCACUUGGGAGGCAGAAGCAGGCAGAUUUCUGAGUUCGAAGCCAGCCUGGUCUACAGAGUGAGUUCCAGGACAGCCAGGGCUACACAGAGAAACCCUGUCUCAAAAUAUUAAAAAAAAAAAAUUUUUUUUCAUGGUGCCAAGAGUGGUGGCUCAGGUCUGCCACUCUAGUGCUCUAAGUGAUUAGGCAGGAAGAUCUGCAGGUCCAGGCUAGCCUGGACUACAUGGCAAGACCAAACAAAAGACUGGGGAUGAGGUGCAGUAGUUGAGGCUUUGUCUAGAAUCCUACUAGUUUCAGCCCCCAGUACAUGAACAGUCAUGGCAAAUGAGGCCUCAGUUUACUCUCAGCUGUUGGAGGGUUGAGGGCUAAAAGUCGGGGUGACCAAGCAACUGGAGAACUGGGCAGGGAUCCAGAGUUAGAAAGGACAGCAUGAUGGCAGGAACCGUCAGGAGGCAAAUGCAGGUGGGUAGUGAGUACUAGGCUAGCCUGGUCUGUGAGCUCCAGGACAGCCAGAGCUAGGUAGAGAGACUUAGUCUCUAAAACAAAUUGAAAUU
rnacentral:lncRNA from 1 species